UACGAAGGGGGCUAGCGUUGCUCGGAAUCACUGGGCGUAAAGCGCACGUAGGCGGAUUGCUAAGUCAGGGGUGAAAUCCUGGAGCUCAACUCCAGAACUGCCUUUGAUACUGGCGAUCUCGAGUCCGGGAGAGGUGAGUGGAACUGCGAGUGUAGAGGUGAAAUUCGUAGAUAUCGCAAGAACACCAGUGGCGAAGGCGGACUCACUGGCCCGGUACUGACGCUGAGGUGCGAAACGU
rnacentral:rRNA from 1 species